rnacentral:ncRNA from 1 species
CCGCCGUUGCAUAUGCUGAUUGUAGAUGCUGCUCGCUCCUGUCUUCUGCUACUCAUCACAGACCUGGUCGUGUUGAGCAGUUGUUGGCAGAUGUUAGUGGUGUUUCCUACUCUCAGUCGUCAGCAUCACUGGCUGAGUGGAAAUAAUCCUUGGAUGCUAAUUGGUUCGCUAUCUGUGAAUUGGUUGCUUCCUUGCGAUACUCACUACUCGGUCAGUGAGGAAGUGCGUUUGCUGGUCAACGAGCUUUCUAACUGUCAUUACCCUGCGCUUUUCGAUUCGUCGAGUGGCCAGGAUGUGGCUUUGAGAUUGUUCGCACUUAGUAAUCGCGAUGCUGGCUUCCAACGGUUGCCUCCGGCCCGUCUUGAAACACGGACCAAGGAGUCUAACGUAUGUGCGAGUGUGUGAGUGGCAAACUUAUACGCGUAAUGAAAGUGAGGCCGUAUGGCCAUGUUGGGGUCACCAACAACCGACCUUGAUCUUCGGUGAAAGGUUUGAGUAUGAGCAUAUCCGUUAGGACCCGAAAGAUGGUGAACUAUGCCUGAGCAGGGUGAAGCCAGGGGAAACUCUGGUGGAGGCUCGUAGCGAUACUGACGUGCAAAUCGUUCGUCAGACUUGGGUAUAGGGGCGAAAGACUAAUCGAACCAUCUAGUAGCUGGUUCCCUCCGAAGUUUCCCUCAGGAUAGCUAGAGUCUUUAUCAGUUUUGUCAGGUAAAGCGAAUGAUUAGAGGUUCCGGGGAAGUAACUUCCUCGACCUAUUCUCAAACUUUAAAUGGGCAAGAUCCAGUAGUUACUUAAUUGAACUAUUGGGGUCAAUGAGACGACUCUAAGUGGGCCAUUUUUGGUAAGCAGAACUGGCGAUGAGGGAUGAACCUAACGCUCGGUUAAGGUGCUAAACUGCUCGCUCAUCAGAUACCACAAAGGGUGUUGGUCGAUCUUAACAGCAGGACGGUGGUCAUGGAAGUCGAAAUCCGCUAAGGAGUGUGUAACAACUCACCUGCCGAAUCGACUAGCCCCGAAAAUGGAUAGCGCUGAAGCGAGUGACC